CCUACGGGGGGCAGCAGUGAGGAAUAUUGGUCAAUGGUCGGGAGACUGAACCAGCCAAGCCGCGUGAGGGAUGAAGGUACAGAGUAUCGUAAACCUCUUUUGUCAGGGAACAAAGGCGGGGACGUGUCCCCGGAUGAGUGUACCUGAAGAAAAAGCAUCGGCUAACUCCGUGCCAGCAGCCGCGGUAAUACGGAGGAUGCGAGCUUUAUCCGGAUUUAUUGGGUUUAAGGGGUGCGCAGGCGGUCUGUUAAGUCAGCGGUAAAAGCCCGGGGUUCAACCCCGGCCCGCCGUUGAAACUGGCAGUCUCGAGUUGGAGAGAAGUAUGCGGAAUGCGCGGUGUAGCGGUGAAAUGCAUAGAUAUCGCGCAGAACUCCGAUUGCGAAGGCAGCAUGCCGGCUCCACACUGACGCUGAGGCACGAAAGCGUGGGUAUCGAACAGGAUUAGAUACCCUAGUAGUC
rnacentral:rRNA from 1 species